GAUGAACGCUGGCGGCGUGCCUAAUACAUGCAAGUCGAGCGAACAGAUGAGAAGCUUGCUUCUCUGAUGUUAGCGGCGGACGGGUGAGUAACACGUGGGUAACCUACCUAUAAGACUGGGAUAACUCCGGGAAACCGGGGCUAAUACCGGAUAAUAUUUUGAACCGCAUGGUUCAAUAGUGAAAGACGGUUUCGGCUGUCACUUAUAGAUGGACCCGCGCCGUAUUAGCUAGUUGGUAAGGUAACGGCUUACCAAGGCGACGAUACGUAGCCGACCUGAGAGGGUGAUCGGCCACACUGGAACUGAGACACGGUCCAGACUCCUACAGGAGGCAGCAGUAGGGAAUCUUCAGCAAUGGGCGAAAGCCUGACGGAGCAACGCCGCGUGAGUGAUGAAGGUCUUCGGAUCGUAAAACUCUGUUGUUAGGGAAGAACAAAUUUGUUAGUAACUGAACAAGUCUUGACGGUACCUAACCAGAAAGCCACGGCUAACUACGUGCCAGCAGCCGCCGUAA
rnacentral:rRNA from 1 species